UCCCUGCUGGCUCAGUGGUAAAGAACCUGCCUGCAAUGCAGGAGACCCAGGUUCAAUCCCUGAGUCAGGAA
rnacentral:tRNA from 1 species